UUUCAUCAGUAGAUGAAUGCAGCUAUAUCUUCUUUGACUUUGGAACUUUUGAAGUACAGCUUCUGGUUGGUUAACUUAUUCGCACCCAAGUACAUGGAUCUCAGCCACCAACAGUUUGAGUGUCCACCACCACACACGUAUGAACUAGUGGAACAUUUAGAGCAGUCACCAGUAUAACAACGCACAGUAGCAUCAAGCACUCUAGAAUCUUCAAAGAUUUUGGAUGUGGACGUAAUAACUUGGUGGAUCCAGGAUUUCCCUCGACAUCUGGUAAACUGUAGGAGGUGCCGUCUUGACUGGUUUUAGCUACAAGUGAGAACUUCUCUGCAUCUAGCCUCUUCCAUUGUAUAUUAGAUGAACUUAGCUUACUGUUUGAAGACUGUGUUUCAUAUUUUAUCCCCUUGUUAUGGGGUAUGUUACCCGGUUUGAAGCAGGAUUUACGUCUUUUCUUUUCACCUUUCAUGUUAAUUUACAGUACCAUUGACUGAUAAUUUAUGAAGAACUAUAUUUUCCUGCAUUAUUUAUAUCAUUCGAAGAUGCUGUCAGCUUCCAUGACACAAGUUUGCCACUAAUUGCUGACAGUGACACUCUUAGGGGGAUUUACAGGUGCUGGACAAUAUGGUCUAAGAUAUCACGUGUGUGUACAGUAGGGCUUACAUCUUAUUGGAUUACCACUAAUUGCAUUACCAUAUAAACCACAGCUUUUCAUAUAUGAUAAGGAACUUAUUUGCCUUCAUAAAUAUACAUUUCUUGUAAGUUUUUAACUUUUAGCUCCUUUGCAUAUGUAGUUCUUAUUGAAAAAAAGAAAGAUUUUUUUUUUUUUAAUUAAAAAAAUAAUUUAAAUAUUUUUUUUUUCAUCAAAAUUUACUUUUUACUAGAUUUUCAUACACAAAAUGAAUUUAUCUACCAUGUGCAAUUUACAGAAUGUAAAUAUCUUUUGAAAUAAAAAAGUUUUGCUGAUUUUAA